rnacentral:lncRNA from 1 species
GACACGUGCACACACACAGGCAGGAAAACACUGGGACACGGGCACACACACAGGCAGGAGAACACUGGGACACGUGCACACACACACACAGGCAGGAGAACACUGGGACACGUGCACACACACACAGGCAGGAGAACACUGGACAUGUGCACACACACACAGGCAGGAGAACACUGGGACACAUACACACACACAGGCAGGAGAACACUGGGACACGUGCACACACACAGGCAGGAGAACACUGGGACACGUACACACACACACAGGCACGAGAACACUGGACAUGUGCACACACACAGGCAGGAGAACACUGGGACACGUGCACACACACAGGCAGGAGGACACUGGACACGUGCACACACACACAGGCAGGAGAACACUGGGACAUGUUCACACACACACACACAGUCAGGAGAACACUGGGACACGUACACACACACAGGCAGGAGAACACUGGGACACGUACACACACACAGGCACGAGAACACUGGACAUGUGCACACACACAGGCAGGAGAACACUGGGACAUGUGGCACACACACACAGCAGGAGAACACUGGACACGUGCACACACACAGGCAGGAGAACACUGGGACAUGUUCACACACACACAGUCAGGAGAACACUGGGACACGUACACACACACAGGCAGGAGAACACUGGGACACGUGCACACACACAGGCAGGAGAACACUGGGACACGUGCACACACACAGGCAGGAGAACACUGGGACACGUUCACACACACAGGCAGGAGAACACUGGGACACGUGCACACACACAGGCACGAAAACACUGGGUCACGUGCACACACACAGGCAGGAGAACACUGGGACACGUGCACACACACACACAGUCAGGAGAACACUGAACACGUGCACACACACAGGCAGGAAAACACUGGGUCACGGGCACACACACACACAGGCAGGAGAACACUGAACACGUGCACACACACAGGCAAGAAAACACUGGGUCAUGUGCACACACACAGGCAGGAGAACACUGGACAAGUGCACAUACACACACACAGUCAGGAGAACACUGGAAACGUGUGCACACACACACACACACACACACACACACAGGCAGGAGAACACUGGGACACGUGCACACACACACAGGCAGGAGAACACUGGACACGUGCACACACACACACAGGCAGGAGAACACUGGGACACGUGCACACACACAGGCAGGAGAACACUGGGACAUGUUCACACACACACAGGCGGAGAACACUGGGACACGUACACACACACAGGCAGGAGAACACUGGGACACAUGCACACACACAAACAUGCAUAUCCAGACACACAUG